rnacentral:tRNA from 14 species
GGGGGCGUGGCGGAAUUGGCAUACGCAGCGGACUUAAAAUCCGCCUCUUCGGAUUGUGGGUUCGAGUCCCACCGCCCCUACCA